CAGCUGGAGUUUUGGUUGUAGAAGCAGUUUGGGUGGUUUAGAUGUUGGCUGUUGUGGUACAUGACCGAAUGAUGAUGGCUACCGCUGGUCUUGGUGGACCCCCAGCGGUGCCGACAGCAGCACAACACCACUGCCACAAUUACAGUAACCAGCAGAAGGAGGGCUCCUCCUCCCGCUAACAGGUAGUACCAAUGGGCAGCAAAGGUCUGCACCGCCACUGUGUCUACAGUGGGCUCCAUCCCAGACAUGGCACCCCCUGGGGGGCAGGAGGACACAUUACUGGUUGGGUCAGUGACGGUGGAAGGCAGGCAUGCAGACUACACUGGGGGCGGGGUUAAAAGCUUCAUUGACCACGAGUAACACCCUUGUGAAUUCGUCAAACUGGAGCUCAGCAACCAUGACAUGCCUUGUGUCGUGUUAGAAAAAUAUAUGCCUUUGCACUCAUAAAUGUAUUCACUUAUCGUUUGUUUUAAACCAUUUGCUUUAAUGUGAGGAUAUGAAAGCAGAUUGUGUUCCUCUCUCUCUGAUUAUCACUUUGCUGUGGGACAAAGCAGGAUGUCUGCGGUUGGGGUGCGGCAGUUGCAUGUUCACGUGAGGACAUAUGACCUCGCCGAAGGAGAAAACGGCAGACACUUCUUAAAGUGACCAUCAGGCCUGUUGAUGACCCAGACGGAGCGGAAAGGAAACAUGAGAGACCAGGAGAAGAAAGGACGGGAAUCGAAAAAUUACAGGGUGGAAUGAUGCUGGAGCAAACUAAAGGAGAGAGAUGUGUAAUAAAAGAUAAAUCAGAA